AGUUCCAGGCUGUAACAGUCUUAUUAUCAUCAUAUAGGUCUUUCAGAUACUUGGCUUUUCUGUUUUGCUAUUCUUAUGAUAUUCACCUUUCUAAAUACAGCUUUCUCUGCUUUGGCAAACCUUGCUCCUGACUGAGGCCCUUUGAAUGCAUUCCAUUUGUGCUGCAAAAUCUCUGGAGAGGCUGAGAGCAGAUGAAUGCCGUGCCCUUCUCCUCAACACAUUUCAAACCACUUAACAAAGAAGAAAUCACUUUGCCAUGACCAAGAGCAACAGAACAUUGCUUAAUAGUACCGAAGGAACAGGGAAUUCUCACGGCAGGCUCUAUGAAAUGGGAAGACGUGCUUUCCAGGGUGCAACGUGCCAGUAGCUGGCAAUGCAAGCUGCAGUAACAACUUUCUAAUCUGAUUCCAGCAAGCAGAGAAGACUGCUAACUUUCCAAAUUCAUGUACUGUUCAUCUAAAGCCCCAGCUCUGCAGUCCACUGACUUUUCUCAGCUAGGCUGUUUUAUUUUUUGUUCAUUACAAUUCCAAGCUGGUUUGAUAUCCCCAUGCUAGCAAACCAAUCUUUUCACAAUCCCUCUCUGAAAUAAAAUUGAGCUGAAGGAAUGUGCUUUAUCUGGUUAAUUUAGCUAGAAAGAUAUUACAUUUUAUAAUGAAGAAUCCCUCAGGACAUGAGAUUUGGUUUAAUUUUCACCUGGUGUUUAUCACUGUGUAUACUCCAAAUUCUGUUAGUGUCUAUAAACACAACAGCAGGUACUUGGACCUUACAAAGAUUUCUGGAGCCAGAUCCAGAGAGAGAUGUAGAGUAAUGGAAUGGCAGAAAUCCAGCUUCUAAAAUAAAUGUAAUUUGUC